UGAAGUUUCAAUUCUUUUAAUGAGAAAUAAAUUAUUCUGUUAAUUUGAAUGUUGUAUUAAUUUGAAAAGUUACCGGAAGUGGCUAUACAUCGUCAAAAAUUACAUUAGCUGGGGGCAAAAUGUCGCUCCGUAUUUGUUCGUCUAAAUACCUGUGGAUCACCUGUUAUCCCGGUUUCAGCUCAUUGCCACUGAGGAAGCAAAGUAUCAAAGGUUCGACUUGCAGACGGUGGCUGUCGCACACAGGUGCUCACCGGCGGCCAUUGGAGGGCGUGAGAGUCCUGGACCUGACCCGGGUCCUGGCUGGACCCUUUGCCACCAUGAUGCUGGGAGACCUGGGUGCCGAGGUCAUCAAAGUGGAAAAACCAGGUACAGGUGAUGACACCCGAGCGUGGGGUCCCCCCUUUGUUGGCCCGGAAAGCGUCUACUUCCUCAGCGUCAACCGCAAUAAAAAAAGUGUUGCAGUGGACCUCAAACAUCCCAGAGGAGCAAAGCUCAUCCAGGAGCUUGCAGGGGUGUGUGACGUGUUGAUGGAGAACUUCCUGCCAGGCAAACUUGCUCUGAUGGGUUUAGGAUACGAGGAGCUCAGCAGACGCAACCCGGCGUUGAUCUACUGCUCCAUUUCAGGUUAUGGCCAAACGGGUCCUCAGAAUCAGAGUCCAGGUUACGACUCCAUCGCCUCCGCUGUGUCCGGCAUGAUGCACAUCACUGGGACGGAGGAUGGCGAGCCCGUCCGCCCCGGUGUAGCUAUGACGGACCUGGCGACUGGAUUGUAUGCGCAUGGGGCCGUCAUGGCAGCCCUUCUGCAGCGACACCAUACGGGGAGGGGCGCUCACAUCGACUGUGACCUACUGUCCUCUCAGGUGUCGUGUCUCAGCCAUGUUGCUGCCAACUUCUUGAACGGUGGGAAGAAGGCAAAGCGCUGGGGGACGGCCCACGAGAGUAUCGUUCCCUACCAGGGAUUCAGAACCAAAGACGGGCACGUGGUAAUAGCAGCAGGAAAUGACCAGCAGUUUGUGAAAGUGUGUCAGGUUCUACAGCUUCCGGAGCUCACCCAGCGGCCAGAAUACAAAACGAACAAGCUCAGAGUCCAAAACCGUCAAGGCCUUGUGCACACAUUGUCCCAGAGAUUUCUGCAAGAGACGACAGCUGAUUGGCUGAGAAAGUUUGAGGGCUCAGGUGUUCCUGUCGGACCAAUCAACAGCAUCCAGGAGGUCUUUUCUGACCCACAGGCGAGCGCACACACACACACACUUAGUACAAAUUGGGGCAUUUGAGGAGACACAGACACAUUAUAUGUCCUUGUUGUGUCCUGUGUAGAACAAUAUCGGAAAAAUGUAACUGUGUGUGUGCGAGCGUAUCUAUGUCUGUUCAUCACACUGUCCCUCAACAUGUAGUAAAAACCGCAUUAGUCACUUUGCAGACUCCAAUAACAGAGUGAUCCUGCACAAGUGUGUGCAGAACAAAGCGACAGGACAUAUGGCAUGCGUGCAUGGCAGCGUGAUGGAGAGAACGCCCGGGGUUAAACGCUGCAGUGUGAAAACAACAUGCUAAUGUUAGCAUGUUAGUCACCAACAUGUAACUGCAGAAUGUUCCUGCGUGUUCCAGGCUUGCAACAAGUUUUGAGUUCAAUCAUUUCUGGACAACAGCUCCUGCUGCCACCUGGCACGGCGCUGUCUUAUAAAGGCUAUGAUUCAGUGUGUGUGUGUGUGUGUGUGUGUGUGUGUGUGUGUCAGACAAAUCAGUUAGUCUGCCUCUUGAAACACCAACUUGUUUUUUUUUCAUCCCUCUUGUUGGUCGAGACACACCUCGGAGUGGACCAUGUGCCCUGAGUUCUGCUUCACAGCCUGAACAGCUGAGAGAAAAGUCAUAUGUGUGAGGAGUCUUGAUACACGACUGAAUAUGUGCAAGAAAAAGUAGUUUUACAGUUUUGGGCGAGAACUGUCCUUAUCUUCAUCCAAUUUAGAGGCUGUUUGGUUUUAAUAUUCAGUUUGAAUGAGCUAUUAAUCAUUGUCAACAUGCGCUCCUCCAACAUCGCUUGAGUCCAGCUCACCUUGGCUGACUGUAUUUCACCCUGAUAGAAAGGUACACACUAAUCAGGUAAAUAUGCUUUACUGUCCUCAGGGUGGCGCUAUGAUGCACUUUUAUAUAGACUAACCAUGUUAGAAAGUAGCUCGGUAACUUGUGCUAACCUUUGUUGACCAUACAUGCUUUUUGUGACUCGAAAUGAAGCUUUGCUGUGUGCUGUGAAGCGUGUGUUUUGGUGGUAGCUCCGCUGCUGGCAGUCGAGAUGUGGCCGCCCUGAAGCUCAAAGUCUGGAAGUCAUUUGGCGAGCGCCGUUCUCUCUCUCGUCACUGUUGGCCACGGCGCUCUCGUUCUCCGCUUCCUGUCCGUCGCUUUCAUCCGCCUCUUCGCGUCAGACAUUUUCAUUUUCCAUUUCUUCAGCUUUGCAUGUCGGACGGCGGUGUCUCAUGCUGAUUCCCAUCAACCACUGGAAAUCCUACGAUACCUGUGCGCCUCAGCUGUUGAGUGCUUACUUUAUUUACACCCAGCUGAUCCGCAACCUCAAUUUGACUCAAGGCGGCGUGUCUUGAACAUUUACACAAGCAAAGCUCACCUGCAGAUACGCUUUUGCACAAGCUUGUUUCUCACUGGUCCACAUUCACUUCAUGUCUCUCUCUCUCUCUAUAGAGAGAGAGAGGUCAGCACAGCUUCUCACCUUUACGACUGCAGGCCCUCCAUCCAUGUAGCUGUCAUGUCCUCUGGGCCUGAGCCCGGUUCUGCAGCAAAUAUGCAACUAAAUAUGGCUUUAAUAUCCUGACUACUGGAGGUGUGUGUGAUUUAUCCCAGCUGAAAGCUAAACAGCCUCUGAAGUGGAUAGUGGAUAUAAAUCAGCUGAUGUCUGGCAGCCUUUCCACUCCGCUUUCACUUCAGCUAAACAAGCAAGCAAAGAAUUUAACUUGCACCCCCAGAACUAGAACAUCCGAGGUCCGGGCUUGUCCUCGGGGUCUUUCUGCCUGCUCUGCAUCACUUCACUGCACUGACCCACAGAGAAAAUCAUGAAUGCCUUGCUCAAGGGAACAAAUGUCACCCCUUUUUGCCUUUUUUGGCUUUUGAACCUGUGAUGAGCCCCAGCAUAUGUACCUUUGCUCAGCGUUGUAUUUGAAAUACAGUCUUUUGCUUCUCUUUCGGGCUGUUUGUCUCUUUGCUUGGACACGGCCGCUAUAAAUAAACUUUAUUACUGUCUGGAAACUGUCAAAUAAAGCUAAGUUGCAGUAAAAUGUUGCUGCGGUGUCUUCCAGUGAGAUUCUGGGUCGCAAGGACCUCACACCGUCUCCUGGAAGCGCAGCUCGACUCGACAUCUUCCUUUUGAAGGUCACAGAGGUGGACCCUUCAGGAUCCAUCCAAGGUCAGGUUGGAGAGUUCACUGUGGUGUCACCAAGAGAAUAUGGUUGGAAUCUCAGCUCUCAGUAUUUCACAUCAUCUUUGCCACCAAGUCGUCUUACAUCUUCAUCAUCUACUAUCUUCUUCUGCUAUGGCUCACCAACGUCAGAGUGGCUGUGACCAGUGCUUGGGAUGAUCCUGAUCCUGAUCUCCUCACAAGUCGCAUCAUUUCUAUAUGGUUCUCUUCACUCCGUGUUACUAAAAGAAAGACUCCUUGAGUACCGAAGUGGAACUCCUGCACUCAUCUCGUGUCAGAUGAACCUGCAUUGAAGCGGCUUGUCCACCUGUCAGCACUCUGAGCGCUGUACAACCUGUUCCCUCUUUACAGUAAUUGGUGUCCGUCCAAGCAGAGGCUGCUUGUUUCUAAAGACACUUGUACCUCAAUUGUACCUCACAGAACAAUGACACUGACGUGUUCAUGGCUGUGCUGAUAUUGGAACCCUCAGAUGAGUAAUGAAGACAUCAUUGAGGCCAACAUCUUCAGUCAUAUUUUUAGGAGCAGAUUUAGCGAAGAGUGGUCCUCCUGGUUUUGCUCAUGUAUUCUGCUGAGGAGGAACCUGCUGUUGUUCUUAACAUCCUGCAGAGCUUGACUCUCCUGCUCGACAACAUCACACGCCACGGAGGCAGAACUACAGCUGCUUGUUUUUAUGGUGGCAAAAGAUGAAGUACUGUUGAAACAGCUGGACCUGCACACAGAUAGCAGCGUCAUGUUUGGACCCCUCAAGAGAUGACAUCAUUCCAGGUGAAACACAAUGGACUCAUCCAGGAGAUGAACCAUCCCACUGCAGGACAUAUCGCUGUGCCUGGUCCGGCGGUCCGCUACAGCAGCUUCUCCACCUGCAAGCCGACGCCCCCUCCUGUGAUUGGCCAGCACACGGUGCAGGUGC